AUGCUCGGGGUCAAGGGACGGUGUACCCGCGAAAGGGAGAAGGUGUGCCAUGAAGCAGCGGCCGACAACGAGGAUGCCCGUGCCUGGAUCCUGGCGAAGCGGCAAGCCCGGACCACCCAUGAUCUCGCGGUGGAGCAAACCCGGACCGUCCGUACCCUCGCCGGCCUUUCCCCCCAAAGAGGAGGAUCUGAGCAUGUUCAGCGCCGUGUCCAACAAAGUUCAGCUCCAGCGCAAAGCAGAUUCGCCUCAGCCCCUAUUGCGUCUUCGGCCGCUACUUCCGCGACCACGAGGACAAGGGCAAGGGCGGCCGUUGGUGAUGAACUAGACUAUCUAUAUCUAUCUAUAUAG
rnacentral:rRNA from 1 species